rnacentral:lncRNA from 1 species
AAGUUACACCUGCAAAAAUGGGACAAAGUCCAGUGAGGAAGGAUAGAACAUUUUGCCUGAAUGUGCAAAAAAUGAGUGGGGUGUCGUCUGCAUUCCUGCAGGCCUGAGCAGCCUCGUGGUAAAGGAAUCAAGAUGUAGAGACCCAUCUGUGAUCACUCAGCCAGGGAAUGCAACUUCUGGGUCAGGAAUCUCAGUGGAUUCUCCAUUGAGAAUGGGUGCUCACCAAGGAGAUUUUGUGGUUAUGAAGUCUUGGCUUUGCCUUGGAGUGGAUCCUGCAGAGGUCAAUGGAGUGAAGCCAGUUAAGGAUGCAAAGAGGAAUGCGAAGAGGAAUGCGAAGGCGAAUGCUCACCUCCGGGAAGCCCCUUCAUUUCUGGAUCCUGUCAGGCAGAGGUGCUGCUGGAGGUCAUACUCCCUCAGCUGGGCAAAGCAGUGGAGAGCCACUGGCUUCCAGAAUGCUCCCAUAUCCUUGCCUGGGAGAGAAUGUUUUUCCUGUUACUCUGGAAGUAUAACAAUUCUGUGGCCUGUCAGUCUUUCAAUAACAAGAGAGGUGACAUUGAGACUUGAUUGUGCUGGUAUCAUUAUCUCAGGAUAUGUAACACCUUACUAAAAAGACUAUUCAUUGCUCAAAAAUUUUGUAUUUCAUAUAAAAAAAUUCCUCUGAUUGUUCAA